GAGGAGCUCCAACAGCAACUUCUUCGCCAAUCCAUCCAAUCCAUAAGUGAGAUAGAAUGAUCAGUCAAAAACCCAGACUCUGUUCGUGCUCCCUCAACUGACCUGGAUGACUGAUGCAUUGAAUGUGUUUGGUAUUGAUGUAAUGAAUCAUGAUGGAUAAGACUUUUACUGUGGAUGCACCUUUGAUAAGGGUGAGUAAAAGAAACACCUGUCUUCUGGUAGCUUAAAGGAUUUCAGGUGAUCUCCAGGUGAGCACAGUCACACAUCAGCAGUUUCCAGAAAGGUGAUGAAUGAUCCUGGAGCUGUGCACAUUCCAGUGUAUACAGGCAAGACUGUACUCACUGAUAUUAGAAUACUGUAGAAGUUAGAGUCCUUUGAGAAACGUGGGUUCUUGUUUUUUUUUUUUUUUUUUGUGUGUGUUUUCUUUUGAUCGAAGGAUAAGCCUUAAGAUGAAGAAAACUGCAUUUGAAAGCUUUAAGCAUAUUAAACCAUAGAGAUCUAAUCAUACACCUGAUGAUAAGGACCCUGGGUUGUGUGCAUUUGUGUGUGCACAUACAUGUGUAUUUGCUUGCUUUUUUCUUUUUUUCUUAAGAGCCUCCAAGUGCCCGUGCUACUUCCCAUUUUAACCUACAUGCUUUUCAUUAUUUCAAAAAGCCUGUGGUUGUAGAAAUUCAUUUUCAGGAAAAGAUUGAUUUCUUUGCAAGUGGUCAGCUUGUCAAUUUUUAAACAUUUUUGAUAACGCCUGAAAGUAGUGGAACGAACUAAGGCAAUGAAUUCAUUAUGAGCUUCCCAGCCAACAGGAUAAAAUGAUAAGGCAAACACAAACUUAUUCCAGCUUCCCUCCCUCUGAGCUUCAAGGGAGAUGGUUUGUGUAAAGAAAUGGGGAAUUACGCUGAAAUAAUGAAAAGCUUAACUGUAUCAAUUUCAGUCUACUUAGUUAAUAAUCAGGCAAUCUGCAAAAAUAGAGUUUAUUGGCAAUUAAUAUAGAAGGAGCACCACAUUUCUGAAUAAAAGUGGUCAAGUUGUCCUUAAGAGUAAUGCUACA
ensembl:lncRNA